rnacentral:rRNA from 1 species
GUGAGGAAUAUUGGUCAAUGGGCGAGAGCCUGAACCAGCCAAGUCGCGUGAAGGAAGACGGCCCUACGGGUUGUAAACUUCUUUUGCAAUGGAAUAAAAAGAGUUACGUGUAAUUCAUUGUAUGUACAUUGCGAAUAAGGAUCGGCUAACUCCGUGCCAGCAGCCGCGGUAAUACGGAGGAUCCGAGCGUUAUCCGGAUUUAUUGGGUUUAAAGGGUGCGUAGGCGGAUUGGAAAGUCAGCGGUGAAAGUUUGCAGCUUAACUGUAAAAUGGACAUUGAAGCUGUCAGUCUUGAGUGCAAAUGAGGUAGGCGAAAUGUGUUGUGUAGCGGUGAAAUGCAUAGAUAUAACACAGAACACCAAUUGCGAAGGCAGCUUACUAAGCUACAACUGACACUGAAGCACGAAAGCGUGGGGAUCAAACAGGAUUAGAUACCCUUGUAGUCC